CAUCAAGUGCUCCAUCGCCAUUAAGAGCGUUCUUAAUUCUUAGCACACACAAAUCAUGAUUCCUCAGUCGGUGCUCCCUAUCUCCUUUUUAGGCGGUGGAACCACCUAUAAAAAGGUGACGCUCAUGCUAGCCACCGUCAACUCCACCGCCUCACUCGGUGCGUCACCUGUCUCUCCUCUAUUGAUACGGUUCAAUGAUUCAACCACUUUGGAUGAGAUAACGGAGUCAUCUAAUCAAGUUGAGUGCACUCUGCCACAUCAAUUAGAUGUAAAGGCUUUAUCUUCAACCAUAUAGUGUUCAUCAUGUAUGCAUAAUCAUUCUCAUUCUGUGAUUGUAGAUCUCUUUACAUUGAUCAUUAACAGUAUUUAGUAACCCACAAAUCUAAUGUUAUCCUCUUUAUGUAACACAUGAGAGCUAUUUUUCAUAGAUUUGUAGAACUGUAGAAUUCUUUUUGUGUCACUUGAAAUAAUCUUGGAUUGACUUUUGUAUGGUAGCAGAGCUGAAGAGUUAUGAAGUAUCACUUUCCAGAAACGUUCAUUCUCGCCCAAUUAAAGUAACAUGGUCUGUGCAAGUGCAUUAUUUUAUUAUGGAUCUAGAUCCCAGACUUUGAGCAAGAUCGUAGAGGUAGCCGAGCGUAUAGCCAAAUUGGCCAUGCAUUCAAUAUCGUGAAGAUGCUUACCACAAGGUUGUGAUGUGAUUGGUAUUGACGAAGCUCAGUUCUCUGGAAAUCUUUAUGAGUUUUGCUGAUGCAAAGACGCUGAUGAUGAUGGCAAAACGGGCAUUGUUGCAGUCGUUGAUGGUGAUUAUUUAAGGAGCUUCGGUGAUGUUCUUGAAUAUUUACCAAUAACUGAUUCUGUGACAAAGUUUACUGCAAGGUGUGAUGUUUGUGGACAGAAAGGUUUCUUCACUGUGAGGAAGACUUGUGACACCAGAACCGAGCUGAUGGGUGGGGCUAAUGUAUGUAUCCCUGUUUGUCUUAAGCAUUAUGUCAAUAAUCAAAUUGUCAUCAAAGCUUCAAAGUAAGUUUUGGAUUCUGACAAGGCAAGAGCUGACACCUGUGUGGAGACAGUUGCUGCUAUGAUCUAACUAUGAAUUGAUGCGAAACGCACUACACAUAUAAUAUAGUGAGAUUCUGUUUUUUGAAGGUGCCAUGUUUGUUUGCUGCUAAGUUUUGAAUCUUAUGUCAUUUUAUCAAAACAUGAAGGUUGCCGAUCAUUUUUGCAAUUUAAUAGUCUAAGUAAAGUUUACUGAUUUCCAAAUCGAAUAUAUAGAUUAUAAUAAUAUUUACAAAUUCUUAA